GACGAACGCUGGCGGCGCGCCUAACGCAUGCAAGUCGAACGAGCGAGAGAGAGCUUGCUUUCUCGAGCGAGUGGCGAACGGGUGAGUAACGCGUGAGGAACCUGCCUCAAAGAGGGGGACAACAGUUGGAAACGACUGCUAAUACCGCAUAAGCCCACGGGUCGGCAUCGACCAGAGGGAAAAGGAGCAAUCCGCUUUGAGAUGGCCUCGCGUCCGAUUAGCUAGUUGGUGAGGUAACGGCCCACCAAGGCGACGAUCGGUAGCCGGACGGAGAGGUUGAACGGCCACAUUGGGACUGAGACACGGCCCAGACUCCUACGGGAGGCAGCAGUGGGGAAUACUGCACAAUGGGGGAAACCCUGAUGCAGCGACGCCGCGUGGAGGAAGAAGGUCUUCGGAUUGUAAACUCCUGUUGUUGGGGAAGAUAAUGACGGUACCCAACAAGGAAGUGACGGCUAACUACGUGCCAGCCGCCGCGGUAA
rnacentral:rRNA from 1 species